AUGCAUUUUACAGGUUCCAGGAAUGAGAGUGUUGAAGUGGGCACCAACAUAACUUUACUCUGUACCAAUAAAAAGGUAGCAUGGGAUGAGAUGAUUUAUGUAAUCUGGAAAAUCUACUCACAAGAGAGGAACUGUACAAUCUCUAUGGCCUCAAAUGACGCUGCCUAUGAUGACUGUAAUGAUGGAAAGUGGAUCAAAAGUACAAGUGGAAACUACAGCUUGUUCAUCCCUCAGUUUUCAAGCAAAGAUGAAGGCCGUUACAUCUGUGACAUGUCUUACCAAGCUGGGGGCUUUAUAGAAACAAUUAAUGUGUCUACAUGUGACCGUCCGACACUGACUGGCUGGCUGGAAAAGGAUAAAGAUGGUCACACUUUUGCCGUCUGUAGAGCUCAGGGUAAACCAGCAGCUUCCAUUUACUGGAAAACCCCGUGGAACGUCUCCUCACCCAGAACAAACUCAUCUAUAAAUUUUACAGUGACGAGCCGUUUACAGCUGCCUCAUAAGGCAUCUCCCAUUGAAUUGACCUGCGUAGUCCCCUCCAGCUCCUGCAACAAGGAAGAGAUUCAAUUCAACACCUUCCAGGAUCGACAAACACCAGAUUUCUCUAUUGCAUGGCCUUUCAUUCUUCUGGGUGUCUGUGUGACAUGCAUCACCGUUACUUUUCUGACCGCUCUCUACAUCAUGCGAGAAAAAAUUGGACAGUUAAGUGUAUUCAGAAAGCUUUGCUGCACACCUCAAAUCCCAACACCUGCAAGAGAAGAAAAAACACCACAGGUAAGAUUAAUUACUUAUAACAAAUAAAAUUUCUCCUCUUCUCUGAUAUGAUGUAAAAGAAGUGUAUGAGGUGGAACAAACUGUUGAUGAUGUUGAAUCUUUUACUUCAGCCUCGUGAUCCUGAAGAAGUGGAGCCCUACGCCAGCUACGUGCAGAGGGUCAACUCCAUCUACAACUCAUCUGCUGAACUUUUCAAUGCCUGAUCUGUACACUCUCUCUCUCACACACAAAUUACAGAGUCUUACACAAUCUGAUGAAACUGCAGAUUAUGAUUGAUGACUAUACAGUGCAGAGUGGAGUAAGGUGUACAGAUAAAGAUGACGCAUGCAGCACUCACUGCUGCACACCUACUCUGUGGACAAAAAGUGUGUGUAAGUGUGUGUGUACACUAAUACGGCUGGAAACAAAAGACUAAUGAAACCCCUUCAAAAGAGCUUCCUCCAACAAACAGACGCUGAUGAGAGAAACGCAAACCAGAGUGAGUCAGUUCGAAAGGCAGAGUGGAAAGAGAAGGAUUUGCCUUCACUGCACAAUAUGAAGAAUCGUCCAGAGGGCUGGCUUAGACUCUAGAACUGAAGCGUGAAGAACCGUGCUACUACAAAGACAUUUAGACCUCAAAACCACAAACCUGAACAGAACUGAGCCAGACCUGACGUUAAAGAGCUUGGAAAGACUCUAGGAGGUUACCUGCUGAUCAUAUUUGCACUUACUGCUCAGGAGUGAAAGCAAAAAUGCUUUAUAUACAAUUUAACCAUUGUGUGUGUAUAUAUAUAUAUAUAUAUAUAUAUAUAUAUAUAUUCAGUUAGCAAGGUGUGGACAGUUUUAAAAAAUAAAGAUGCUUUAAAUGGUUCUUUAAGCA
ensembl:lncRNA